rnacentral:rRNA from 1 species
CGUAGGGUGCGAGCGUUAAUCGGAAUUACUGGGCGUAAAGCGUGCGCAGGCGGUUUGUUAAGAUAGGCGUGAAAUCCCCGGGCUCAACCUGGGGACUGCGCUUAUGACUGGCAAGCUAGAGUACGGCAGAGGGGGUGGAAUUCCACGUGUAGCGGUGAAAUGCGUAGAGAUGUGGAGGAACACCAAUGGCGAAGGCAGCCCCCUGGGUCGAUACUGACGCUCAUGCACGAAAGCGUGGGUAGCAAACAGGAUUAGAUACCCUGGUAGUCCACGCCCCAAACGAUGUCAACUAGGUGUUGGAUGGGUAAAACCAUUUAGUACCGGAGCUAACGCGUGAAGUUGACCGGCCUGGGGAGUACGGCCGCAAGGUUA